GGCUCGGUAGCGGAUGGUCCGCGUCUGCCUACAUUGGAUGUGUCCACGGUGAUGCCAAUUUCAACAGAAAUCCGCUCGUUCGACUCGAGCCCGAGCCA